CCUGCACAACCCACCAUUUUGUGACGGGUACCUUAGUAUUUGGAACUAUAGCUAUGUGGGUCCGACAACCUAGGGUCCGACUCAGGAAAAUGGGCACUUGUCUCCUAGGGUGGUCCGGAGCCGUGUAGCCGCUUAGCCUGGUCCCGUACCGUAAGCCUACACACUCCACCACCCUGCGAUGGGAGUCCUAGUAUCUAGAGCCGCGACCCAAGGGGGUCCGGACACGCAACUUGGCCACCCGGACUAAACCCUGCGAGUCCCGAGCAUGUAUCAAAGGAUGGCUAAUAUCAGACAGGGGACCCUAUGGGUGUACUACUAACGCUCCCUAGCUGAAGCUGUGUACAGAUCCAGAUCCCGGCCGAGGCUGCCUCUCGAGAGUUGUUGACAACCCUUUUUAGAUACGCUGGUAACCAACCUUGACACAUCAAGCCUGCAUCCCAAGCGGGGGGCCAGGUACCAGGGAGGAGUCAACAACAUCACACAUAGCAGGAACAUGCGGUACACAGAUAAGUGCUAACACUGCUUGAUAAAUAGUACUCAAAAGUACCUUACAAAAAGCAAAAGUAUUACAUUCGCCUUCAAGCGGAAUCCUAGUUCCACCUCUACUCUGCAGGUAUAAACUACUAGACGCCAGCGGAGUCGCGCUGGAAAGCCCGCGACCACUGUCCUUGCGCAAUCCUCUAGAACGGCGUAACAACAGUGAUGGCCGCCUCAAUGUGUGCACCAUUGCGAAGAGGUCCUCGCCCCCGUCCUCCUACGGGGGGCGACAACGAGGCCAUUAAAUCCAAAGAGUUGGAGGCUUGGUGGCAGGUGGCGCUGGUGGUCUCGCCAGCGGAGGCAACCACCUCUGCAACGGGCAGCCUCACCAGCGGCGGCGACCACCUCAGCACCGAUGAUAGCGGCCACCUCUGCACCGGUGGCUUACCAGCGACGGCGGCCGCCUCACCGCAUGCAGAAAGGUCCUCGCCCCCGUCCUCCUACGGGGGUGAGGACAAGACCAUCCAAGAACGCGGUCGCCACCGCCGUGGCGUACAACGUCUUGUACAACCCCCUGGGCGGCGCCAGAGCAGUGCAGCCGGUUGCGCAGGGAACGCCACGGAUGCGGCAGACCUGCGCACGGCGCGACCGUCGCUUGUACGGUGGACGAACAGCCGCGCCCCGUUUGGCGGCGGGAGGCAGCACCAAAGCCAUCUAAGCCAAGGAGCCAGACACGCGGCAGCUGACGGCGCCUGCAGCCGGUCGGCCCCGCGUAGCCGAAGUUCACCUCCUCCGCAAGGCUGGUGAACAUCCUUCUCCUCCAAAUGCUGGAGGAAGAAGCGGGUCACCAGCCCAUGCAGAAGGUAGGACCCCAACUCGGCUCGCCUUCCACCCCAGCGAUGAUGAUGAACAUCCUUGAAGCUGAGGGCAGGGGGGAAGCCGCAGCCCGGCUCGCUUCUCUCCACCAUAAGGCUGGUGGUCAUCCUUGUAGAUGACCACUGGCGGGAGACUGCAGUCGGGCUGCAUGAUGAAAAUCCUUGAAGUCGAGCGAUGGCAGAAGAGCGCCAACCCCCAUGAGGUCGCGCUCCUCCAACAACAGCAAGAAGAAGACAAGAUCGGCAGCACCACCGCGCAGGAAACGAAGAGCGCGAGCUCCCCGGCAGUGAGACCGCUGGGGAGGGUGGCCCUGACGCGGAUCCCUCCAGCGAACACCAGCGCGCCCUAUCCAGAGGCUCGAAAGGCGGAAGGGCACGGUGAAUGCAAGAGGAGCGAGGCAUGGCUACUGCCCGAGGGAUGAGCACCUUUUUAAAGGCAGAUUUCCCCGCCCAUGCCCCGAAGCAUCACGGGCAAGGUCUCCCCUGAUGCGCACCAGGGUUCCCAUUCUAUGACAUGGGGGCCAGGCCUCACACGUCGUACAAGCUGGCCCGAAGCGUGAAGAAGGCGAAUCGUCGCACAGGGAGCGUGCAACCGCACUGCGGUUACACGCCCUUCCACCUUCGCCGCAACCAACGGUCAAGAAGGCCAACCGCCGCACAAGAAGGAGCAUGCAACCGCCCCGCGGUUGCGCGCCCCUCAGCUUCGCUACAACCGGUGGUCCAACCUAUGGCGUGGGGGCCCAGGCCCACAUGUCAUACACCCGGCGCACCGGUUCCUGGGUGCAGGAAAGUCGCACCGCCGCUCACGCCAAUGUCGCGCCUCCUCGACGCCGUCACAGAAGACUAAGAGGAUAAAUUUUCAAAACUGAUGCAGCGACUCGAGGCACUCCGCACAUGGCCCAACAAAGACAUUAAGUACGAAGGUCACGAUUCAGUCAGCCGUGGGGGCAGGCGUGGCAGUCGGCGUGACCAUAGGCGGGCCGGUAGUAACUGCAUCAACGGGUGCGCAGGAGCAGUGAACCGAUCGCCAGUCAAACACUAGCCCCACAUGUAGGCUCGCAUCCUCCCCUGAGGCGGGCCCGGGGGCCACUGUCGGUACCCUGGAUUAGGGGUACCCCUUACUACGGUAUGAAGGCACGAUGCUGCGCAGCUACCCUUAGCCGUGCGGGGAAUAGCCCCAGGGGUAUCUCGUGAGCAGUUAAGGUGGCGUUCUCGGAGACAACACCGUCGGGCCCAGAAGGCGCAUGACCCCUAUGCGCACAACCCGGACCCCCAAAGUAAAGUAGCUCGGAGCCAUUGGAUAGGGUUCGGACCCCAUCAAGUGAGCUCCGGACCACCCGUAACAAGGUCCCAGGAGAGGAAGUGCCGCAACCUAGGCAUGGGUCCGGUAUUGACGCGUGUCCAGGCUCUAUCCAGAGCGCCUCCGCUCCCCACUCGGUCGAGGGUCUAAUGCUACCACAUGGCUUAUUAUCCGUGACAUAGGCCAGCGGGCGGAGCAUGACGUAAGGGCUCUGGGCCGCGCAUUUAUUGCGGAAAGGACACGCCGCCUGUCCACCUCUCUGACAGGCGAUGUGCCCCCACGACAUUUAUUGUGUCCUGUCCAUUCCGCUGGCAGGCGGCGCUAGUGCCACCCUGUAGACGGCGCACCUGUCCAGUCCGUUGCUGAAACAGUGCGCCCGUGCUGCGUGGUGCACUGUGCUCAUCCCUUGUGCGAGAAGCUUCCCCCAGCACGCCGAUACCACGCAGAUUUCGGGUGUCAGGGCGCAAGAAUAUUGCUCCAGCAGAAGAUAUUAGUAGCUACAUCCGCUAUGUUCUUGGGCCCACAUGUCGGGGCUCAGUACUCUUGUACAUGUCCCCCUUUAGCUAUAAAAGGGGAGGCAUGCGACGUUACAACACAAGCUCAAUCUUGAGGACACAGACCCAAGUCAUCCAAGACAACUCAAGCUCUCAAGCAAUAUAACACACAGUGGAGUAUGGUAUUACGCUCCGGCGGCCCGAACCACUCUAAACUCUUGCAUGUUCUUGUGUUCAUUCCUUCAUCUCGCAACAAGCAAACGCUUAGGCCCCUCCUCAUCUUAGGAUUUAGGGCGGGUGCACUCUGCCACCCGCCCGGAGAUUUCCUCUCCGACAGCCGUAAAGAGAGUCAUGAGAUAUUUAGUUUACACUCCUAAGUUAGGGCUUUGGUACCCCAAGGGAUCCUCGUUUGAUUUAAUAGGAUAUUCCGAUGCCGAUUGGGCAGGGUGUAAAAUUGAUAGGAAGAGCACAUUAGAGACUUGUCAGUUUCUGGGGAGAUCCCUGGUGUCAUGGGCUUCAAAGAAACAAAACUCAGUAGCUCUUUCCACCGCCGAAGCUGAGUACAUUGCCGCAGGCCAUUGUUGUGCGCAAUUACUUUGGAUGAGGCAAACCCUUGGGGACUAUGGCUACAAAUUGAGCAAAGUCCCUCUCCUAUAUGAUAAUGAGAGUGCAAUCCGCAUGGCGAAUAAUCCCGUUGAACACAGCCGCACUAAGCACAUAGACAUUCGAUAUCACUUUCUGAGGGAUCACCAACAAAAGGGAGAUAUCGAAAUUGCUUAUGUUAAUACCCAAAACCAAUUAGCUGAUAUCUUUAUCAAGCCACUAGAUGAGAACACCAUUAGCAAACUUAGGAAUGAGCUAAAUAUACUUGAUUCUCACAAUUUUGAUUGAAACAUUGCGCACAUAGCUCAUUUAUAUACCUUUGAUCAUGUCUCUUUCAUUUUGGUACAAAUGCAUAUUUCUUAUUAUUCUUGUACCAAGGCUACGACUAAUAUGCUUUGAAGUGUAUUUCUAUACUAAGUCGUAGAUUGAAAGGGAAAUGGAAUCUUCGGCAAAGACAAGGCUUCCACUCCAUCUCUAACGGUAUCAUCUACUCUUUGUCGUUGUUUCUCCACUCUCAAUUGGUAUAACCCUUCACUCAUAUUUAUAUUACCAUUUGGGAGAAAGUAUUAUAAGGGCUCUCGAAGUCUCUGUUUUUUGCGAUUAAUGCGAAAGGGGGAUAAAAUAUUAAGCCCAAAGCAAAAGGACCGCACAACUACCAUUUCAAAAAAUUUCAAAAUGAAGUUUUACUUGGUAUUUUCGAUUGGUAUCUAAUUUACAAUUAAUCCUUCAAUUGGUAUCUUUAAAAAUCAAACCUUAAUUUGGUAUCUAUUUCAAAACCCUCUAAGAGGAGAAGUUCAUUCAGGGGGAGUUUUAUUUAGUCAAAGGAAAAGCAUUUGAAACAGGGGGAGAGUUUUCAAAUCUUGAAAAAUGCUUCUUGCAAUCUUAUUCAUAUACCUUUGACUAUUUGCAAAAAGACUUUGAAAAGAUUUUCCAAAAGUAUUUGCUAAAACAAAACAAGUGGUGCAAAUGUGGUCCAAAAUGUUAAAUAAAAGAAAAAGCAAUCCAUUCAUAUUUAGUGAGAUAUUCAAUUGGUUUAACUCCCAAGUAACCUAUGCACAUUCUAAAUGCAAACUAGUUACAUUUCUACACUUUAUAUUUGCUUUGGUUUGUGUUAUCAUCAAUCACCAAAAAGGGGGAGAUUGAAAGGGAAAUAGGGUUAACCUUUUCCUAGAAUUCAUGUAUUACAGGUGCAUAAGGUUCAACACAAACCAAUAAAAGAUUCGAGUUAGGGACUCAAUUUAAAAAGAGCAAAAGGAAUCGAGUGGGCUGAAAAAUGGCGCACCGGACUGUCCGGUGUGCCACCGGACUGUGUCCGGUGCACCAGGGCCGUACAGGUGUCAACCAACCACUCUCGGGAAAACGAAGGCGCGCUCCGCUAUAAUUCACCGGACUGUCCGGUGUGCCACUAGACUGUCCGAUGAGCCAGCGGGCAACGACUAUCCAGCGCCAACGUUCGACUCUGCAAAGUGCUACAGUGAGCCACAGUGCUGCGGCAGAAGUCAGAGCCGCGAAGUCAGAGGGCACCGGACUGUCCGGUGUGGCACCAGACUAUCCGAUGCCGCAAGAGGAAAAAGCUCCAACGAUCGACUUCGCUCUGAACCCUAACGAUUGGGUGACAUGGCGGGGAACCGGACAGUGCACAGUGCCUGUCCGGUGGCGCACCGGACUGUCCGGUGCGCCCAUCGCCAGCAGCCUCCCCAACUGCUACCUAAGUGGUUGGGGGCUAUAAAUACCCCCAACCACCACAACAUUGAGCAUCCAAGUUUUCUGAAGAUCACAUUCAAUACAAAGAGCUCUAGCAUUCACUCCAAAACACAAUACAAAAGAUCAAAUCACCUCUAAGCCCCAAAUUCAUUCCAAACACUUAGUGGCUUGUGAGAGAGAGAUUUUUGUGUUCAUUUGAGUUCUUGUCGUUUGGAUUGCCUUUCUUUUUUUCCCAUUCUUAUUCUCAAGUGAUUUGCAAGCGAGGCAAGAGACACCAAGUGUGUGGUAGUCCUUGCGAGGUCUUAGUGACCCGUGAGAUUAAGGAAGAAGGCUCACUCGGUCUAAGUGACCGUUUGAGAGAGGGAAAGGGUUGAAAUGGAUCCAGUCUUUGUGACCUCCUCAAUAGGGACUAGGUUCUUUGGAACCGAACCUCGGUAAAACAAAUCACCGUGUUCACUCGCUUUAUUUCUUGGUUGAUUUGUUUUCCCUCUCUUCCCGACUUGAAUUUAAUUCUAACGCUAUCCCCCGACCUUAGUGCGCGUUUAAAGUUAUAAAUUUCAAGUUUCGCCUAUUCACCCCCUCUAGGCGACUUUCAGAGAUGAUCCAAGACGCCAGUAAGAUCGUUUGUUUUAAUUGAUGUUUUUUUGUUUGUAUAGAAUUGAUUGAUGACCAUGGCCAUGGAUAUAUCUUCCCUCAUCUUCAUGAAGGGAAGAUUUGGGGAAGGAGGUAGUAAUUGGUUUUUAUGUCGAUAUGAUUAGAGAGUACUCCUGAUUAGACCCUCUUUUUUUCCCAUGUGUUCAUCUUAUUUUUCUUCCAUGGUCUUUUUUGCUUGUUCAUCUAAGACGUCGGUGGGCAUGAAUCUAUUUUCCCCAUUUGAUUAGACGCUCUUUUUUCCCAUGUGUCCAUCUUAUUUUUUGUAGUUGGCCCCACAUGCUCAAGCGACGAGGAAAGCUUCAUACAUCGUUGGAAUGGAUCCACACCAGAGCGUGCAUCCGACCUUGGCGCUCUUCGGCCGAGCAGCACACCAGAGCGCGCAUCCGAACUCUCGUUCGGUGGGGUGGGGGACGGCUCGCCAUAUAAAUUUCCGUCUCCUGCUCCGACCGAAGUGGCGCCCCAACGUGCAAACUACUGCCGCCCUCGCCCUCCUCCGGUACCACGUUUUCAGAACGCCCGAUCAAUCACGAAUCGUGAUUAAUCGACGAUUAAUCGCCUGAUCAUAACUUCGGAGGCGAUUAGGGCUAACGGCGUGAUCAAAUAAGUGAUAGUGCGAUUAACCGCGACUAAUCGUCAGAUCAACACAUGGACGAUCAGGCCCGCGUCUGCUUUGAAAAUUGGAAUUUUGGCCCGGUGGCCCACUUGACUUGCCAACUAUUUUGGCCCACCAGCUCAGCCCAUAUUCCCUUUUCCCACGUGAACACAGGCAGCUGCAACUGCAACGCGUGAAGCCGUGAACACGGGCACACCAGUACGACAGUACCACGCCACAUGAACUCGUGAAGAAUAGAGCCGCCACUGAGGAACCCUAGCGACGGCGGCGCGCUACCGGUGACAUCGUCCAACUCGGCCCCUCCAUCCCCGACGCGGCGGCGCCAGCGUGCAAGUACGAUUCCCUUCUCAGUCUCCACGGCUCCACCAGGGCACCAGUCCAUCUCUUAUCCCCCGUCCCCAGUCCCGUUCAUCUCUACAGGUGUUAGGAUACUUGGAUUGGAGUCGAGUGCUAGGCUGCUAGUGCUAGUGUUCAAAGCCUGAAGCCAUGUCCAUGGGCGUGUGGUUGUUGCCUGUUUGUCCACCGGCAGUUCAAAGCCUGAAGCCAUGUCCUGGCGGCCGCGAAGAACCUGCGCAGUGCGCACGGAGGCCGCCUCGGGAGCGCAGAGCGAUUAAUCGGGCUGAUCGUCGACUAAUCGUAAUUAGUCGGCUGAUCGCCCUUCUGGCGAUCAGAGGCUAAUCGCCGAUCUGAAAACUUUGCUCUGGUACGCUCCUCUGCAUGUGUACUCUUUCGCUACACAGUCUAUAUGGGAUUGGGUAUUCCUAUUCUGUUCUGGAUCUGAGCCUUUCUUUUGGGUAUUCCUAUUUUGUAGCUGGUGCUGCAACGGAUUCGGAACCUGCUGCUGCGAUGGAUCCGGGACCUGGUUGCUGUAACGCAUUCAGCUCCUGCUGCUCUUAAUGAUAAGUAUCUGCACAACUUAUCCAGAGUUCAUACAGCAUAUUAAUAAGAACAGAAGCCACAACUUAGUAAAUAGCUCAUCCAGUUUUCCUGACCGAAGCAUUUCUUGUGGAAAUAUCUGAUAUUUAGAAGAAAGCAAAAUGGUUGGCCAGGAAGACAUAAACAUAAUUAACAAGUCCGAUGAAGUUGGCAGCUCAGAAUCUUUCCUCUUCCUGCAAUAGGCAAAUAGUGUGACAAAAAUGAUCUAGACAAAUGAUGUUCAAAUCAAGCUUGCUUCUACAAAUAAGAGAAAGUAGUUGUGCUAUAUUUACUCAGGAAAGAAUUGCCAAAAGCAGGCACCGGUAAUAAUCUCCAAAUUCCAAAUGCAUAUGAAAAAAAGUAUUGACAAUCCAUUGUUCAUGGGCCUACUGCUUACCUUCACUACUCUAUCGUUCAUAAGCCUAUUGCUUAUCUUUCACUAAGUAGCCUGAAGGAUACAUUACUGUUCUGGUUGGAUAAAUAGGCUGCUCUCCCAGUAGUGAAAUGCUAAUGCUAACAAGAUUAAAGUGAAGAACUUGCAUACAUGCCGCAAAUACGUGUGCAACCAGCAAAAAUUUAGUUAGGUGAUAGAUAAAAUCCAGCAGCAAUAUUACCUAACAGAGGUACUUGGAGGACUGAGAGGGGAGGAAGGGCAUGGGAUAGCUGGACCUUACAUUGGUCAAGUAAGCGCCUCGGUUCCAAUGACAUCCUCCCUCCCAUUGGUAUACUGAGAAAAUGACUCCACUCUCCUGGUGCUCAUGUCAAUGGUGACCAGCCACAUCUUCUUUCUCACGUAACCGAACUCGCUGAUGACAAAGUGCGCUACAUGUGGCCUGUCCAUGUUGACUUGGGGGAACAUGAGAAUGUCAUCCAUUUUGGAUUGUCUGGUAGGGAUAUUGGCUACGAGACCUAUGAAAGUCUGGAUACCAGGAAAACGAGCGAAAUUGCUGACUCGCUCCUAGGAAGCUUGCGGUAGGCGCCCGGGGUUGGCAUACCAAAGCUCAUUGGAGGUGACCGUGUAGUCCUCUUCCCACACACCCCCGACCAUGUUCGGCUCCGUGAUGUUGCAUAACAUGAGGUAGUGGCACCUAAUAGUGAAGCCAACACCAGCCUUGAGUGCCCCAUAGCCAACCUUGUCGUUGUGGGCGACAUUGGUGAACAGGAGUGCACCCUCGUCACGGGUGGUCGUCACGGUGCGGUACAACCAGCAUCAGUCCUUGCUGCGAGUGUUGUUGUCAGGAAACUUGUCCAGAGGGAAUUGGCUGAAGACAACAGUAAGACAAUCCACAAAACUUCCGAAAUCAAAUGUAGGAUUUGAGUUUCUCUAGAGGAUUUGAGUUUCCAAACUAGGAUCAAACGAGAAUAUCAUCAAAUGAAACAAGUGCGAACUUUGAAACGCGGUUUCAUAGUCUUCACCGGCCGUCAGUCUGAUCUGACGGAAACCUACUGCGCGCAAAUCAAAUCAAGACAGGAAAACCAGCAAGAGUGUGCCAGCUCAUACAACAACUUGUCAGCGAUAGGAAGAAGUGCAAUUAACUGUUCAGGUAGAGUAGUUCUGAAGAAACUAUAUAUGACUGCUCUCUAUGUAAUGCCUCACGCAGGGACACACACGACACGGAGCACUGGAGUAGCGCCACGGCACGCCGAAAAAAAAGCGUCGCCUUCGCCUCGUUUGCAUGCUGCUGCUGCCCCCCUCAACCGCGUGUAAUGCUGCCACUUGUUAACUAGCAGAGGGAGUGAAAGUGGGAUGCAACAAGCUGGAGUAGUAGCUAGCAAUCCAGGCUUGCAACCACUGUAGCUAGCACCUGUUGUGACUGCAUGGUGAGGUCUUCAGGGAGAGAACACAAACAAAUAAGCGCAGACAAGUGGGCGACCAAUCUGGCGAAGCUGCUGGAGCCUGCUGCUGUGACUGCAUGGUGAGGUAGACGGAACUGCCAAAACCUGUUGCUGUGACCAUACGGACGGGCGAGAGACCAAGACGCGUCGAGUGGUGACGCGGUUCUGAGCCCAUGGUUCAAGGCAGCUGGAGGAGAGCCAGCGCUCCGCUGCAGGAGACGGCGCGUGCAGGCGGAGGAUGGUCGACAUGGGCACAACAACAGCGUUUGUGGGGGAGGGGGAUGUGAUUCGUGGCGGCAGCAACGACGAGGGGGAAGAGGAUGGCACUGGCCACUGGGGCUCUAGCAGUUGCUGUUACUCAUCAUUGUCGACGCCGACGACAAAAAGAAAAGGAAAAAAAACACUUUGGAUGGUUAGGUCGUUGCCUUGUUGCUAGAUUUGUCCUCGACGACCUGACUGAAUGGCGUCAGGAACGGUGACGGUGCCCCCCUCCUGGUAUCCCCAGCAGCUGGCGCGCUGAUGGCCACGGGCUUGGAACCGCCCAUGGGCGAUGUUGGUCAGCUGGUGGGAGGCCCUGAGCGUUGGGUGUGACCUGCCGAGCCGGCGCCGGCGCCGGGGGAGAGGGUUGGGCGGUUACCUACCGAGCUGGCGGCGGGGGUUGAAGCUACGAGGGGUGGGGCGUGCGCGCGACGGCGCGCCCAGGCGAGAGAGGAAGUGUACCUCCGCGCGGGGGUGGGGCUCCUAGAAGCUUCGCGGCACGACACGAGAAGGUUGCGAGGUCUUGUGUGGAACCGUAGAUGCGCGAUCGGACGACUGAAUGUUUUCGGGCCGACAUGGAUAGGCUGAAAGGCUGAGUUUUGGACCGGCUUUAUUAUAAAGGAAAUAAGACUUACGAAAUAAGUAGAUCAUAAUUCUAUCUUGUAGCCUAUUUUUUUUAUCUAAUUAAAGUAUGACUUGUUUUCACUAAUUUUGGCGAAAGUUGCUGUACAUUUUAUUUUGGCCAACGCAUAUUUUAUUAAAUUAGUUUAACAAAGCUUGUUAUUAGAAACUCGUAUGCCUCAUUUUUUAUCAUUCUGGCUCAUACCGAUUGAUGAAUAUUUGACUAUAACCUCAUCAAGACAAAAGUACAAUCUAGCUAAGGAUAGGAAUUUGGAUUCUAAGUAAAUGAGUUAUCUACAUUACGAAUUAAUAAGUACAAGGGAUUAUGUUCUUAAAGAACAUCAAAAUUAGUGGGAGCAAAAUCAUAACAAUUAAGUAUCAUAGCUUGUGACAUAAGUUAUUAAUAUACCUCUAAAAAGAUUAAGAUGCCCAAGAGAAAGUUAAUUGGGCUAAUCAUAACAAUUAAAGGCUAUCAUUUAGCCCAUUUUACCCCUAGUGUGAUUUCUAUUCUAUGCACAAUGUCUUAUACCCUAGGUUCCAACCAUAUUGUAUCGUGUCAAUUCUAGAAAUGUAAAAACAUCAAUGUAAAUUACAUAAAACUAUAAAAGUGAAGGAGAGAUGUAAGUGGAUAUCACAAUUUUUAGGAUCAAUUUAAUAUUUUAAAAUAGAGAUAUAUAAAAUUUGAUGUUGAUCUUUUUUUAUAUUGUCAAGCACAUUAUAAUAACUAAGUUUAUUGUAUUAUAUUGAUCUUUUCUUAUGUUAUCUACAUAAAUUGUUUUAUACAUUAUUUGCUCCCUACAACAAAAAGGUGAAACAAUAUCUGAAUUUUAUAUAUAUCAUUUAAUAAGAUAUUUGAUAAAUUUGUGGUUUAACUUUUAUGAAUCUUUAUAAACUCAAUGCUAAAAACAAGAAUAAAAUUUUACUUAGCAGAUUAUAUUAUAUCUCUUAUUUAUUCGUCAAUCGAAGAAAAAAGACCACAAAAUGAUAUCCAAAUAAAUAUCUAUCUUCAUCCUUAACCUUAAGAGAAGUGAUAGGAACACGACUGAAAGGACUAAGAUGUCCAAGAAAGAAGGGUGAAUUAGAUUAAUUUAAAAUUUCUCUCAUAAUCAUUAAAUCCUACCAAAUAGGUCACUGUUAGAGAGAAAACCAAACUAGACCUCGAUCAUAAACCCGGUCGACCUUUGGUGGACGUGGGGCAAGCAGGAUCGUGACAUUUAAUUUAAACAAGACCUAAUGUUGUACAUGUACAAUCACAAGGUUUUUGUAUAUGACAUUUCACUGUAAUUGAAUAUCCCUACUAUAGAAUGGGUGAUAACUCGUUCCUCGGUGCAUAAUCGAUCUGGUGCAAAUGUAAGACAAGUGCCAAACAAGAUUUCACUCAGAAUGGGUCAGUGGUGAGCUGAGCCAAGUCAAAGAGUUCACAUCGGCUAAGGAACGCACAAAUUGGAGCUUCCUGGACAUGCUUUGCUCUAGUAUCCAGACUUGACAGAAGACAUUUAGACAUAUCGUGAAUAAACAGAACAUCUGCCAAAGACAUAAUAAAACUUUUUGGCUUCUGUCCGAUGUGUGGCUUUCCUAUUCUGUUCUAGUGGAUGCAUAUGUCGUAUUAUAUGGUUUAUUCUGGUCCAAACACAAUUUUCUAAACUUGAUAUAAGUUGUCACUAGAGAUGAAGCCUUCCGUAUAUGGAAUAUGCAACUUGUGUGUGAAUUUUCUAGACAAAUUGUGGCGUCGGAAAAGGCUUGCUUAAAAUAACAUGAACAGAGCAGUACAGUAGCCAAUUAAUCUGGAUAGUGUCACGAUAGUAAUAUUCUUGUUUCUUGAUAAGCAUACCUUAAUCAGAAUGCGAUCAUUCAGUGGUUUCAUAUCCUUCACAUCAUCACUGUCAAGAAUACCAAUUAUGUCAUCUUUCAAAAUGAGAUGGUCGGCGUCAUUGAAUUUCAAUUCUGUGCCUGCAUAUUUUGAGUACACAACUUGUGCACCAACCUGUACAAGAUUAUAAUUCGAUGUCAAGUUACUUAAUUGGCUUAGGACAGUACAAGUGUUACAACGGAAAAAAAUGUUACUGGUGUCUGGUGACAAGGCCAUGAGGAAAAUUGUCUUCCAAAAUUAGAAGUUCAAACGUAGAAGAAGAUUGGAUACAGAAAAAAUCUCAGCAUACAAAACAUACAACUACUUUAUUUAUGGUAACCCGAAGGCCACACCGAGCUCCUCCAAGGUGCCGGCCUCCCUACAUCUAUGUAUUUCUAAUGCAGCUCUCCGUUCAUUGUUUUUGCUGCUGCUCUGCAAUGGAUAGAUUGACAGCACUUGUCCAUGAUCGAUACACACGGUAGAUUUAUAAUUAAUUGUAUAAUACUGUAAUCAUAUUUUAGACCUAUCUAUCUUUAUUGUACAGCAAUUUCUAUUUAACAAACUCAAAAGACAUUACAAUUAUUGCCUAUGAGCUAUUAUCAGCUCAGGGGCAUUCAGGUCGUUUUACAGCUAUAAUCAGGAUAGCAAAAAACUCAGCUUAUUGAGGCAGCAGAUUCUCUGGACAGCAAAAUUAUCAGACAAGCCUGCUACCCAGAGAAUCGAGUUCCUAAAAAGCGACUACAAACAGGGCCUAACUCUAUCGUUCAUAAGCCUAUUGCUUAUCUUUCACUAAGUAGCCUGCAUGAUACAUUACUGUUCUGGUUGGGUAAAUAAGAUGCUCUCCCCGUAGUGAAAUUCUAAUGCUAACAAGAUUAAAGUGAAGAACUUGCAUACAUGCAGCAAUACGUGUGCAACCAGCAAAAAAUUAGUUAGGUGAUAGAUAAAAGCCUGCAACAAUAUUACCUAACAGAGGUACAGGAAGGGCAUGGGACAGAAAAUUAGUUAGGUGAUAGAUAAAAGCCUGCAACAAUAUUACCUAACAGAGGUACAGGAAGGGCAUGGGACAGCCGGACCCUACUUUGGUCAAGUAAGCGCCCUCGGUUCCAAUGGCAUCAUCCCUCCCAUUGGUAUACUGAGAAAAUGACUCCACUCUCCUGGUGCUCAUGUCAAUGGUGACCAGCCACAUCUUUCUCACGUAUCCGAACUCGCUGAUGACAAACUAGCAACAAAAUGCUAUAUGAGCAAUAAUGUUCAGAAACAUAAAUCACAACACAAAUACCACCAUAGCAAUGAUGAUAAGAAACAUAAAUCACACUACAAAUAACACUAUAAUCAGUCACAUGACCAUCGUUCAAUGAUGCUCAAAUUACAGCUCUAACAGCAAAAUAUCAUAAUCUUUCAACAACUAAAAAAAUUGAACUAUUACAAUAGACAAAUAACACCAUAAUCAGUCACAUGACCAUCGUCCAAUGAUGCUCAAAUUGCGGCUUUAACAUCAAAAUGUCAUAUGAGCAACAUAAUCUUUCAACAACUAAAAAAUUUAACUAUUACAAUAGACGAGUUGAUGAUUAAACAAACAGUGGUAACAGUAGCACAAAAGUUCACAGCUCUAUAGCUUAGCUCCCUUUAAAUAAUCAGAUAUUUGGAAAUUUAAAAAUAAUCUUUCAUAAGAACUUCAGUAUACAUACAUAAAAUGUAAAACAUAUACUGCAACUCUGACAAGAUAAGAGGAAAACAAAUAUGAGUUACAAAUUCUAAACCUCGUGCAUUGUAGCUCUGGUUCUGAUGAUUCUGAUUCAGAUUCAGGUUCUGAUUUUGAAUCUGAUUCGGAUUUUAGAUCUGAUUUGGUGAUUUUUAAUCUGAUUUGGGUUCUGGUUUGAGUUCUGAUUAGAGUUAUGAUUUGGAUUCUGAUGACCGAUAAACCAUGCCAAAGACUCAAACCUAUGUGCACCCUAAUUUCUCAAGAACUCGGGGAAUUUUAUGCAUUUAAUCAUCCUCAUCUGAUGUGCGGUAAGAACCACCUGACCAGCUACUGGAUGCAAUUCCAAAUCCUGAAGUUCCUUUUCUGACUUUUAUUAAAGGAUGUUUGUUUAUUUGGGUAUUCUUUGUCAUGACCAUAAACUGUGGUGUGGUUAUAGAUGAAUGUUCUUUAAAGCAACACAUUUGUACUAACUUUGUGUUUUCAGUAAAUGUUCUCAACAACUGAUCCAUUUAGCUGCAAAGUGAUAACUGUGGCAACAUAAGCUUCAGGCAAUUGCAUCAAGAUGGUUAUCAUUUCAUCCUUUUUAAUGAACCACCUCAGAUGAUCAUACAUCUUAAAAAAAUAUGAUACUUGUUUGUUAACAACAAGAUACAUGAAUGUGAAACAAUUCUAUACCAUCAUUAGAAAUAAUUUUGUUAAGAAGAUAUUGUAUCUCAGCUGAAGGUACACUAGAGUAGAUAUCAUCUUUAAUAAUAGUAUGGACAGACACAUAAUUACUCUUAAUGCCCUCAGUAAGCUGUUCAGAGAUAAGAUUUCUAAGGUCACAUCCGUAAAUCUCAUCUCACCAAGAGAGCUUACUUUGAUAUUGUUGGCACUGAAAUCAGAUUAGAAAACACCACGCUCCUUAUUUUAUCUUAUCCUCUCAAGCAUUGUCCUAAAAGUUUGCUUACUAAUAUUUGUUGCAAUUUCAUAUGAAGAUACAAUAUCAGUCUCACCAGAUAAAACUAUAAAAACUCCAUCCACAUCUGUCAUCCCAAAUUAACGAACCAUCUCUCCUCCUGAUUUUAUGAAAUUAUUAAGAAAAAUUGAAUCAUUAUAACCUUCUUCAACUAGAGUGCCGUCAGGGAGCAGCAGCAUGUAGCGAGUGUAGGAGAUCUAAGGUAAAACUGGUUGCGGGACUGUUAACAAAAGAAACUGUACGUCAGACAAAUGUAUACCCAAAAAAGUUAUAAGAUACAAAGAUUAUUUUAUAUUGAGGGGAUGGGGACAGGAGCAGCCUGAAUCUCACACAGUCACCCUACGCCACAAAAAACUCAACAAAUGUAUGCACAACAAGACAAAACAGAAACAAUCCCUUCUAAUCUUACCAAUUCACAGAAUCAGUAAAAGUACAUGCACAAGAAUGCUACUGUUGAUUAGUAUAAAUAGCUUCAAUGAUCAAAGGAUGAGCAUUUGUACAAAACUAGUUGAACAUCAUUGAACUUAUUGACCAGGAAUAAACUCAUUCAAUACUAUAGUUAUAUAAACUCCAAAAAUACUCCAAAUCAAAGUUUUGAAUACUACAAUUUGAGAAUACCACAAUUUUAAUACAAAGUUUUUCAAAGAAGCCCGCCAAACACCUUGUGGCUAUGAAUGCCAUAGUUUUUUCUAAUACCAUGGUAUUACCUAAAAACUAUGAAAAACGUGGCUACUAAACAGGGCCUCAUAUACUUACCAUUAAGAGCAGCAGGAGCAGAAUGCGUUACCGCACCAUGAGUCGGAUCCACGUCCAUCGGGGAACUAGGUCCCGGAUCCAUCAGCAGCAGGUUCUGAAUCCGUUGCAGCACCAGCUGUAAAAUAGGAAUACCCAAAAGAAAGGCUCAGAUCCCGAACAAAGGCUCAGAUCCUCUUCAAAAUAGGAAUACCCAAUCCUAUUAUGUUCUAGAUCUCUUACACUCGCUACAUGCUGCUACUCCCUGACGAUACUCUUGUUGAAGAAUGUUGUGAUGUAUCAAUUUUUCUUGCUGAUUUCAUAGAAUCAGGAGGAGUGAUGAUUAAUGAAUUUGGGAUAACAAAUGUGGAUGUAGUUUUAUUGUUUUACUCGGUAAGACUGAUGUUGUAACUUCAUAUAAAAUUGCAACAAAUAUUAGUAAGCAGACUGUCAGGACAAUGCUUGGGGGAUAAGAGGAAAUAAGGAGUGUGAUGUUUGCUUAUCUAAUUUCAGUGUCAAACAAUAUCAAAGUAAGCUAUCUUGGAGAUGUGAGGUUUAGAGAUGUGACAAUUAUUAAAAAUCUUACCCCUGAACAGCUUCCUGAGGGUAUUUGGAGUAAUUAUGUGUCUGCUCAUGCUGUUAUUAAAGAUGAUACCUUUUCUGGUGCACCUCCAGCUGAGAUACAUUAUUUUUUUAACAAAAUUCUUACUGAUGAUGGUAGAGAAUUGUUUCACAUUCAUGCAUUUUUGCUGUUAGCAACCAAGUAUCAUAGUUUUUUAAGGAGAUAUAUGAUCAUCUAAGGUGGUCGAUUAAAAAGAAUGAAAUGAGAACCAUCUUUAUGCAAUUGCUUAUGUUGCCACAGUUACCACUUUGCAGAUGGAUGAAUCAGUUAGGACAAAUGUACUGAUUGAAAGAACACUCUUUUAUAAUCACACCACAACCUAUGAUCAUCCCAAAGAAGACCUAAGUAAACACACAUGCUUCAAUAAAAGUCAGAAAAAACACUUUAGGGUUUGAGAUUUGAUCCAGUAGCUGGUCAGGUGGUUCUUACCGCAGAGCAGAUAAUGAUGAUUAAAUGUCUGAAAUUUCUCGAAUUCUUGAGAAAUUGGGGUGCACAUAGGUUAAAACCUUUGGCAUGGUUUGUCGGUCAUAAGAAUUCAAAUCAAAACUUUAAUUAGAACCCAAACUAGAACCUAAAUUAGAUUCAAAAUCAAUUAAAUCAGAUCUGGAAUACGAACCAGAUUCAAAAUCAGAAUUCGAAUCUGAAUCAGAACUAGAGCUAUAAUGCACGGGGUUCAGAACUUGUAACUCAUGUUCGUUUUCCUUUUAUCUUGUCAGAGUUGCAGUAUGUGCUUUACAGUUUAGGCAGACAUACUGAAAUUAUUAUGAAAUAUUAUUUUUAGGUUUUCAAAUGUCUGAUCGUUUGGAGGGAGCUAAGCUAUAGAGAUGUGAACUUUUGUGCUACUGUUACCACUGUCUGUUUAAUUAUCAGUUCGUCUAUUGUAAUAGUUCAAUUUCUCUAGUUGUUGAAAGAUUAUGUUUCUGAACAUCAUUACUCAUAUGACAUUUUGCUGCUAGGGCCGCAAUUUGAGUAUCGUUGGACAAUGGUCAUGUGACUGAUUAUGGUGGUAUUUGUGAUGUGAUUUAUGUUUCUUAACGUCAUUGUUAUGGUGAUAUUUGUGUGGUGAUUUAUGUUUUUGAACAUCAUUGCUCAUAUGGUAUGUUGCUGCUAGUGCCGCAAUUUGAGCAUCAUUGGACAACGGUCAUGUGAUCAUGUUGGUAUUUGUGGUGUGAUUUAUGUUUUUGUACAAUCUCAUGAAUACUUAGCUUUGUCAGCACGCAGAGAAUGUUUUCUGGAUUAGGGUACAUUUGCUGUGCUGAUAGUUUCUUAGGUUUAGGUGCUCACCUCCCUCAUUUGACAUGAAUAAUGUAUGAGUAUCGUGUUGCGGAGUACUAUGUGAAGCCAUCAACCUGAAAGCUUUUAUAAUUAUCCGCACACGGGAGGAUGCCCAACUGUGCCCAGAAAACAUUGCAGCUCAAAAUUGCUACACCCAUAUCAAAAUUGCAAGUACUCGUCUUUAUUUUUACUAUACUCCAGGACUGACUGUAUGUUUUAUUCUUCCCACAGGUCUGUUCACAAAUUGCAGCUCAGCGUGCAGCCAAUCCUAACCUUGAUAAACUAUAUAUUACAAAAGUGAGUAGCUCUAUAGGUCCUGCUUAUGAGAUUUUUAUGGAUAUUUUUUAUUACACUCGUAAUGGUUGUUUCCAUUUGGCUUUUUUGUCAAAGUUCAUGAAGAAAUUGUUUCUUAUGCCUAGCAAACGCUUCAAAUGCAAGGAAAUGGUUAGAUCUUGAUCACACACUAUUUUUUGUUACUAAGUGACUAUGAUUGUCAAGAAAAGCUAAAUUCAGCCUUUUUUAGACAUUUCACUCUGAUUGUAGUAUGAAACUCGUUCCUGUGAUGUAUAUAUAAGCAAAAACAAGUAAUGCUCCUCCAUUUCUGUAAUUUAGACUGCAUGGCAUUCUGCAAAGAAAAGCGUUAGAUAGAAGGACACAAUUCACCUCCAAUUACUGGAAUCAAUGUCAGACAUCCACAAUGUGUUCCAUGUAUUCCAGCUCCAAAAAUGCCUAUAAGUGCUAGAAACCCAUAUCGUAGAAUAGCCAAUCCAAGUCUAGGAAGAUCUGCAGUCUCGAGAAAAACGACUGAAAAUCUUGGACCUAGCCGUUCACAAAACCCGGAACUCAGAGGUAAGGGUCUAUAAUGUUUAGUGGGGCUGAGAAGGUGAAGAAGAAGCAACCUGGGAAAGUGAGGGCUCAAUGAGGAAGGAAUACUCUUAUCUUUUCUCAGACCCAUCCUAAAUCUCGUGGGAAAGAUUCUUUUAAGUGGGUAAGUUUAUAACAUCCCGAUUCUCAAAACAGAGGUUAGUAGAAGAAACCCUAAUCGCAUAAUCCCAAAACCCCAACAUCAUCACAUCUAUCUUUGGAAAACCUAUAUUCAUGCAUGGAUGAUGAUUGUUAGAAACAUUGCACAUAACUAUUUUCACGUUACUAGCAAAUGGUAGGGAUUUAUUUUACACCUAGGAAAAUAUACACAAGAGAGAGAGAGAGAAGAAAGGAAAUAGAAAAAAGGAAAUAGAAUUCUACCCGGAGGCCCACACCUAUGCCCCCUCCUCGUGCCCGCGUCCUCCCCCUGGCCCAUCUCUGACACACCCCUCGCCCUCUCCCUCUCCGCUAACCCGGCCCUGCUUGUCAGCACCAUCGUCUCCCUCCUAACAAACUCAAAGUGCUCGCACCCUCGCCAUCGAUCGCCAUCCUCCUCCCCCUUGCUGAUAGACACAGUUGAGCUGGGCACCGUUUUUCCCUCUCCCGCUGUGCGCAUGUACCUACACGCCACCAUCGUCCUUCACCGUCGUGGCAUCACAUCGCCACCCAUGUGCGCCACCCUUUUUCACUGCCUGCCGGCAUCCAGCUGGCCACCAAGCUCCCUCCCUGACCGCCUAUAAAAAGACCGCCCAAAGCCCCUAUUCACCUCGCACCACUCACCAUCCCUCCUCUCUAAGCUCAAUCUGUGCCCACGCGGCCACCCUCCCCCAACUUCGGUGAGAUCUCCAUAUCCUCCUCCAGUCGUCCAAAGCUCAAUCAAGCUAGCGCACAAGCUUCACUGCUUCCUCAUGACCACAAUGAACCUCUCCACGCCCCCAAUCAACCACCACCACCUCGUCAGCGGCAUUACCAUCACGGUGACCCUCCACCCCACCGUGGCUGGCCCUCCCUAGCUUGCCUCCGGCCAAAUUGAGUCUGGCCCCAUGAACACCCACCUCUCCUUGUGCUAGCACACCUCCCCAUUGCCCGGGAACCAGAGCAACGACGGAGAACCGCCGCGAACCUCACCGGCGGCCGGUUCGCCCUCCCCCCAUCAAUAGCCGCUAAGCGCCGUUUCCCUCCCCCUCCCUCUGACACGUGGGCCUAGCCCCUUCACGCUAUUGCCCAUUGUUCCCUUCCCCGUGGGCUAGCUAGGCCUUGUGCCCGCACCGCACCUCGCCCAGCUGGCCCGAAUUGCUCUCGCCAGGCCCAUUAGCCAAGAAACUCCUUUUCUUUUUCUAAUUUCUAUUUUCUCUAUAUACAUAUGUAUGUAUAUAUGUAUUUUUGGCACAAAUACACAAAUAGUAGUAAAAGCACAUUAGAGGUCACAUAAAAUAAUGAUCACAAUAUUAUAACACACCAUUUCAUAGCAAGUCUUUGGUUGAUGUAUUGUUUGUUGAUUGUUUUGCUAGAAGCAGUGAUCGACGUCCUAGAAACCCUAGCUCCGGAAGAAGGGUAGGAGCUCGACCUCCUAGAAAUAGAACCUUCGUGUCAUGAGAACUUCGAAGAAGGCAAGUUCAUUCUACCCUUGAUGCAUAAAUUACCUAUGCUUUCUACCAUCAUCUAAGCCGGAUCAUGGGAAUGGAUUCAUGCAUAUGUGAGACGAGGUUAAUCCUGCAUUAAAUUCACAUUUGGUCUCAAGGAAAACUAUGGGAUAUUGUUGGUGUUUUCAAAAGAAAAUGUUUUUUUAAAUGGGUAUGAUGAAGGCUUAUCACCCUUAUCACCUUGAGUGGGAUGAUCGGGACUCUCUAGUUUGGGAGGCCCCCCUAAAGGAGUUGGCUCAGCCGGGUUAGGUGUGAUCAUGAAGGAUUGCCCCGACUCGUAUAAGGAUCAAUUUGUUAUCCUUCAUUACCUAUGCUCUUAUCAAGUACAACCACUCGAGAUUCUAUGGAUAGUCACUUGAUCUGAACUUGCAUGGGCUGCACCCCAGGGUUAUUGGUGGUUGGGGAGCACCGGAAGGACAAGGAGGGGGAAUGUUUUCGUCCUGGUUUGGGCGAGCGAGGGCCUUGUUCUUUUCGGUAAAAUCGUGCAAGGUAGGAAAGAGCUUUGGAAUCGGAUCUCAUUGGCCAUGAGAUCGCAGAGCCGGACUAGUGGGUAAAAUGUACACCUCUGCGCAGAGUUAAAAUCUAUUCGAAUAGUUCGUGCCCACUGGUAUGGACGAGUUUGGUAUGAGUAUGACAAUUAGUGUUUUGUUUUCAAAAAAGGGAUGUGGAAAUGUGUGCGUGGUUUGGAAAGAAAAAUUAUGCUACGGAGCGGGAAUCUCAGUGGUGGUUGAGUAAAGGAAUAUGCUCUUCUCCUCUAUUCUAGGAAAUACCAAAACAAUGCCUCGUCUCUGAGAAAAACAGAGUGACUUAUAACUCCACUAAAUACGAACAUGUACAUUAUUGGUCUCUCUCUCUUUUAUGAGAUAGAAUGGGCUUGUGGAAUACGAAAGUAUUCACACGUUGCUUUAUAUGUUUUUCUGUGGCUGGAGACUUCAUUACUGCUUUGUUCGACUAAAGAGGGCUGCGUCUGCACCCAGUCUGACUGUGGCUAGGGCUGGUUCUCGCUUUACUUUUCCUUAGCUCCUCUAAGCUUCACUUUUGGUAUUGUAAUAAUUAUUGUAAAAUACUAUGUUCCAUCUAAUCAAAUAAAUGUGGUCACUAGCCUCUUGGAGCUAGGAAUUUGAUCACAUUUGGGUCCCAAAGGAUCGGGACGCUACCUGCCCCCGACCCCGGGCUAGCUGCCUCAAGGCUCGGGGGCAGGCAGAAGGGGGAAAGAUCAAGAUGACUAGCCUUUCUUGUUAACGACUUUUAUGUGCUUCUAAUAGGCAUGGCCGCACUAAUAUCUCUCUUUUGUUUGUUGUAAACCCGACUUACGCAGGGUCAAGAGAAAAUCGAAGGGAGCGAAAACCGACUAGGCCACCCUUCGAGAGCGCCCCGACCCAGGGAACUAAGCGAACGCGAAGAGUUCACUUUCCGGUAAGGACCCGGACCCAUUCAAAUUCCUUUGGCAUGGACCAAAAGACAAAAAGCUCAAUGACUCCCAACUUACCGUCCUUGACCACUAGAGCAUGGCGUGGUUAAACACAUGCAUACUAAAGUGUUUAAGAACAUUCUGUAUGUAUUCCUUUUGUGAUAGACCUAAUACCCCAUUCUUCUAUCUUGAUGAAUCUCAAUUCCUAAGACAUAAGAUUCCUCUCCGAGAUCUUUCAUAUCGAAGUGCGAGGACAAAAAACUCUUAGACUCUAGCAACAUAUUCUUAUCACUGCUUGCUAACUGGAUAUCAUCCACGUAUAGUACAAGAAAGAUGAGUCCCAUUCUUAAACUUUGCAUAAAUGUAAUUAUCCUUUAUAUUUUUUCUUAAACCCAAAAUUAUUAGUUGUCUUAUCAUGGAUUUCUUCAUACGAUAUUCUAGUUUUUCUUUGCCCUCCAUGACAAAACAUUUGGUUUGUGCCAUGCAAGACAAGUGCCAAACACUACAAAUAAGUGAAAUGUCAACCGUAGAUGAUGCUUCUCAAGGAGCAAAAACAAGUGCGAGGGUGUGGUCAGUUCACACAUCGAAGGGAGGAGGGUGGCUGGUCGUCCAUGGUGGGGUCGCCCUCGUAUGCGUUGGACGAUGAUUUCCUUCUGAACCGAUCACCUAGUAAAUUCAGCGUUCAAGGUUAUGCAAUAUCCAAUCAACAGAAUGGAACAGAUCAUGCUGGUAGCACUCAUAAAUAUUAAAAAACCCAUAUCAAUACAUGCGGUUGAACACAAGCUUCGCUUUUAGAGCGAAACCAGCUGUAUUCUUAUGGUCCAUGUUAGCCCCACACAGUAACAAGUGUGGAUGAAAAUAACAGGUCAACAAGAGAUUAUGAAAUGUAAUUUUUUGUAUAGUUUACCUCGUGAUGUGGCAGGUGUGUUCGUACUAUUUUUACAAUGGUUUUUGACUCAGGACAACUAAAAAAUGCAUUAGGAUUGAGGGAGUAUAUAUACAAUAUAAUAGCAACUUGCUAGACUAAAGCAAGGUCUACAUUUGAUGCUUGUCAAGUGCCAAAUCAGGCCAAAUCUUCAGCUUGUUCCUUCUUACAGCCGGUUCAAAAGAAACGACAAGAGGAGGUUAAAUUUACAUUUAAUGUUGGCAAAUGUGACAAGAUAUUCGAUGAAUUACUCAAAAAUGAGAACAUUAAAAUAAAUCAUAUUGUUACAUCCGCCGAUGAACUAAAGCGUCGUGCAUACUGCAAGUGGCACAACUCGUUUUCUCAUGCCACUAAUGAUUGUAAUGUAUUUCGACGACAGAUCCAAUCGGCCAUUAACGAAGGACGAUUGAAAUUUUAGGAAAUGCAAGUGGAUACGGAGCCCUUCCCAAUGAAUGUGAUCAACUUCGAAGGCAAAAAAGUCCUGAUUCGGCCCAGCACAACCGAUAAGGGCAAAGGCAAAGAAGUCAUCAUCGGCGACGCACAGAAAGUCGAUGAAAAUAAUAAAAUCUUUUGCAGGAAAGUGGUGGCGGAAAAGACUCCUAAUGGAGGGGAGACUUUGAAAGUUACCAUCACCACCUCCAACGAUAGGGGCACGCGCAAGCAAGGGACCAGGCGUGUGCACCUAUUUUGCGCAUCGCAGACAGUCUGACACAUAGACACGGAUGGUCCGGGACACCGUCGGAAACUCCAGACCAUUCCAGUGGACGGUUCGGCAACGCCCAGGAACCACGAUGACCACGUACCUUCAAACUGCGACGAACAGAAAUAGGUAUGUGGAAAUCUAACACGGUAAAGGCAGCUGGCCGACUGGUAAGAUUCGGCCCGACCUUUAACCAGUUAUUGUCUAAAUAUGUAAAAAAGAAGGUCAGAUCAAGUGACCAGCCAGCAAAGCGACCUCGCUCACCCACUCAAGAGCGACAGCAGGUAAGACCGAUUGGACCACCUCACCAAUCGGAAAGAAUGACGGGUCAUAAUGUCCAAUUACGACCCAACAUACCUGCAUGGACACCUCCACCCCCAUAUCCACCUGUGCCAUAUCAAUAUACAUACAUGCCACCGCCAUAUGUCCCGAAUCAAAUGUGGGGUAUGCCACCAUAUCCAUUUGGGAUGCCACAGUACCCCGCUUGGGGGGCACCCUGUGGGGGACAUAUAUCCUGAAAGUCGCCUAGAUGGGGGUGAAUAGGGCGAAACUGAAAUUUACAAAGUUAAUCACAACUACAAGCCGAGUUAGCGUUAGAAUUAUAAUCGAGUUCGCGAGAGAGGGUGCAAAACAAAUCGCAAGCGAAUAAGGAGUGUGACACACGGAUUUAUUUUAUCGAGGUUCGGUUCUCGCAAACCUACUCCCCGUUGAGGUGGUCACAAAGAUCGGGUCUCUUUCAACCCUUUCCCUCUCUCAAACGGUCCCUCGGACCGAGUGAGCUUCUUCUUCUCAAUCAAACGGGAACAAAACUUCCCCGCAAGGGCCACCACACAAUUGGUGCCUCUUGCCUUGGUUACAAUUGAGUUGAUCGCAAGAAAGAAUCAAAGAAGAAAGCAAUCCAAGCGCAAGAGCUCGAAAGAACACAAGCAAAUCUCUCUCACUAAUCACUAAGACGUUGUGUGGAAUUUGAAGAGGAUUUGAUCACUUGAGUGUGUCUAGAAUUGAAUGCUAGAGCUCUUGUAAGUAGUUGAAGUAGGAAAACUUGGAUGACUUGAAUGUAGGAUGGUUGGGGGUAUUUAUAACCCCAACCACCAAACUAGCCGUUUGGUGGAGGCUGUCUGUCGCAUGGUGCACCGGACAGUCCGGUGCACACCGGACAGUGUCCGGUGCGCCAGCCACGUCACCAGGCCGUUGGGUUCCGACCGUUGGAGCUCUGACUGCUGGGCCCGGCUAGAUGUCCGGUGGCACACUGGACAUGCACUGUAGAGUGUCCGGUGCGCCACUUCGCGCGUGCCUGACUUCUGCGCGCUCUGGCGCGCAUUUAAUGCUUCUGCAGGUGACCGUUGGCGCUGAAUAGCCGUUGCUCUGCUGGCUCACCGGACAGUCCGGUGUACACCGGACAUGUCCGGUGAAUUAUAGCGGAGCGAAUUCCCGAAGCUGGCGAGUUCCAGAGUCGCUUUUCCCUGGGGCACCGGACACUGUCCGGUGUACACCGGACAGUCCGGUGAAUUAUAGCGGAGCGCCUCUAGAUUUUCCCGAAGGUGAGGAGUUCAGCGUGAAGUCCCCUGGUGCACCGGACACUGUCCGGUGGCACACCGGACAGUCCGGUGCGCCAGACCAGGGCUGCCUUCGGUUAUCCCUUGCUCUCUUUGUUGAACCCAAUUCUUGGUCUUUUUAUUGGCUAAGUGUGAACCUUUGGCACCUGUAUAACUUAUAGACUAGAGCAAACUAGUUAGUCCAAUUAUUUGUGUUGGGCAAUUCAACCACCAAAAUCAAUUAGGAAAUAGGUGUAAGCCUAAUUCCCUUUCAUAUCCCCCGGGUCCACUAGAAGGUAAGAAGGCCUCGCGAGAGGCUUUAGGCCUGUUAUCUCGCUAGACCAUCUCUUCAUGGGCCAGGAGAAAACUGCUGGCGGAAUGGGCCGGCAUGAGAAAGGAGCAGACUCAGGCCCAAGCGACUCGUGGGACUUAAGCACCAUCCCAUCUCACUAGUUUCUUUUCGUUCCGGAGAUUCCUCUUGUAACCCACCACAUAAAGAUCCUCACCAGGAAGUAGAAUAUUACGCCUCUCGAAGCGGCCCAAACCUGUAGAAAGUCGCCUGUCGUCUCUCGUGCAUCUCGCACGAACCAUUGAAUUACAGUCAACAACACCGUCCUACCCAAAAGCACCGCGAGGGGUAACCUCGGGUGUGCGGUCGGGCUCCAAACACCGCCAGCUGGCGCGGCAGGUAGGGGGUGUGUCGUUGAUCCAAGCUAGCUCAAUGGCCGUUAUCUCCCAGUGCAAGAUUGCUCUUCGCCCUGAAUCUGUAUUCUGCUUCGGGACUAUCUUAUCCGUGGCAGAUGAGAAGGGAAUUCUGCACCGCAUAGCAGAUCCACCGGAGAAGAAACUUUCCUUGGAAAUCCCUAGGAAAGCCAGAACAAGACAGCGGACAACGCAACCUCCUACGCCCCAGACGAAGACUACUUUUUGCAAGCCGAGAAUCGGGAAUUACUUGCCCGAAGAACUCCGCUGCCCACUUCGUCCACAAAGGAGUGGAUGCGGAUUACAAGGAACCUUGACUUCGCUCGCGCAAUGAACACGCUGAGCGAAGUCGGAGGAGUGCUGGCUCAGAUAGUUGAUGGCCUCCCGCGGACUCCGGAUGCUGAAGGCUAUCGACGGCUGCUUACUCGGGCAGCUAAUCAUCUUCUACCCAUCGCUCAUCCCCCGAGCGACCUGCGACACGCCAUCAAAAGUCGCCGAGACGCGCGGAGCUCCAUCAACGCUUCGCGCGACCGACGACACGAAAACGAGAUAAGGAGCCGGGAGGAGUAUGAUCGGGACCAUGACGUCCCGGCUCGAAGUCACGCCACGCCCACCCGAGUUGAGUCGGCUGCAGCCUUAACCAGUGGCCCGAUCCGGGGACGGUCGAGACGACACAUCACCGACUCCCCUCACCGGGAUCGACACCAUGAAAGUUGAUAGGAAGACACAUGUGGAGUAUCCGCGCUUACUCCGCGUCUUAGGGCCAUCCAGUGGCCCCCAAACUUCAAGGUCUCCAACGUCGACAAGUACGAGCCUAAGCAGGACCCGAGAGGCUGGUUGGCCGUCUAUAUGACCGCUACCUGGGCCGCUGGGGCAACCAAAGAUGUGAUGACCGCAUAUUUGCCCAUCGUCCUCGGGCAAGAUGCAUUGCAUUGGCUACGACAUCUGCCACGACACUGCAUCGACGAUUGGAGUGACUUCAGUCGGUGUUUCAUCGUCAACUUUCAGUCCCUCCGACAAGUCGGCGUAGCCAUGGGACCUCAAAUCCAUCAGGUGCCGGAGCGAUGAAACACUUCGGUCGUACCUCAAGAGGUUUCGGACCAUGAGAAAUCGUAUCCCUGAGGUCACUGAGGCAUCAGUGAUUGAGGACAUCUACCGGGGAUCUAAUGACUCGGCCUUCGUCCGAGCCAUACUGCAGAAAGCGCCGACCACCUCCGAACAACUGUUUUGAGAUGCGGACCUCUACAUCACCGCUGACGAGCGGGCCUAGGACCUUAUCGGAAGAACGAAACCUGCACCACCGGCACCGCGGCGCGACGCGAACCAGCAACCCGACAGGCGUUGGGAGAAGAGGCCUCGUGAGUAGGUUCACGCCGCCGGACCACCCGUCGCUCGUGCCCGUACCACCCCGUGGAGGCGAGCGGACACUGGACGACAUCCUCGACGCCUAGUGCCCGUACCACAAGGAUAUGCGCCACACCUUACGGAACUGUAGGGACUUCAAGCACUCCGUCGGGAAUGGCCGACCGUUCCAACCUCUACCACCUCCCCCACCACGAGGAGAGCCUGGUGAGCCCAAGCAGCCUCAGCAACCAGAAGGGGGAGGGGGUGGAGCAUUCCCACGCGUUGACAGGGAGGCCAACGUCAUUUUCGGAGGCCACGGAUCGCAAGAGAACAAAAGGCAACAGAAGCUCAAUGACCGGCAGGUCUUGGCGGCAACCACUAGUGCCCUAGCUCCUUAUCGGUGGUCAGAGCACGCGAUAACCUUCAGCCGGGUAGAUUAGUGGCUCAACUUUGACCACCCCGGUAAGUACCUGCUGCUCGUUGAUCCGGUGAUCCGAGAGAGCAGGGUAAAUAAAGUACUAGUGGACGGGGGAAGUAGCAUUAACGUUACCUUCCCUCGAACACUCCUGGCCUUGGGGGUUGCACUCAAAGACCUCACCAAGUCAGAUACCCCCUUCUUCGGCAUCGUGUCGACCGAGGGAGAGUAUCCACUCGGACACAUUUACAUGCACGUCACCUUUGGGACUCCAGAUAACUACAGAACUGAGUUCCUAAGGUUCAAGGUGGCACGUUUCGACUGCGGAUACAACGCCAUCAUCGGCAGGCCGGGACUGGCGAAAUUCAUGGCCAUUCCGCACUACUCGUACAUGAUAUUAAAGAUGCCGGGACCACAAGGAAUCAUCACCAUGCGCGCUGACUUACAAGGCGCCGCAGAAUGCUUUCGGGGAGCCAUCCAGGCAACCCUCACUGCAGGACCAUCGACGACUUGCUCCACGCAGGCAGACACAAAGCCUGAGGAAGACCUCGCAAUGCCCGCAAAUGAAGCUCAAGCCGUGACCUCCAUAUGGCCGCUUGAGGAGACUAAAAAAAUCAACCUAGGAUUCUCCGAUGAGCGCAAGACUGCCAUCAUCAGUUCUAGCCUUGACGACAAAUAGGAAAGCGCGCUCGUCCGGUUCCUGCAAGACAACCGAGACGUAUUCGCAUGGCAACCCGCAGAUAUGUCGGGAGUCCCGAGAGAACUGGCCGAGCACAAAUUGAAGGUUUAUACUGAAGCAAGGCCGAUUCGACAGAAGCUACGUCGUUUCACGUCUGACAAGAGAGAAGCUAUUCGCGCCGAGUUAGCUCGCUUAGUGGCUGCAGGGUUCAUUAGAGAAGUGCUGCAUCCUGAGUGGCUAGCAAAUUUUGUUCUUGUACUAAAAAGAAUAAAGUGGAUUGACGCUUCUGCGUCGACUAUACUGAUCUCAACAAGCAUUGUCCGAAGGAUCCCUUCGGGCUCCCUAGAAUAGAUCAGGUGGUUGAUUCGACCGCUUGCUGUUCUAUGUUGUCCUUCCUAGACUUUUAUUCUGGAUAUUAUCAGAUCAGCUUGGCAAAAGAAGAUGAGGAAAAAACGGCAUUCAUCACCCCAUUUGGAGCUUUCUGCUAUACCUCCAUGUCGUUCGGUCUUAAGAACGCAGGAGUGACCUACCAGAGAGCCAUUCAAACAUGCUUAGCCGAUCACUGGGCAAGCGAGUGGAAGCCUAUGUUGAUGAUGUGGUGAUCAAAACAGAAAACUCAGAAAACUUCAUUGAAGAUUUGCGGCUGGUCUUCAACAGCUUGAGGCGAUACUGUUGGAAGCUCAAUCUAGAAAAGUGUGUUAUCGGAGUACCGGCAGGGAAGUUACUCGGAUUCAUUGUCAGCCACCGAGAAAUUGAAGCUAACUAGAAAAAAUCGAGGCCAUCAUGAGAAUGGAAGCGCCACGAUCACAGAAAAAGGUACAGAGGCUUACUGGAUGCAUGACAGCCCUGAGCAGGUUCAUAUCAAGGCUAGGGGAGAAAGGCAUGCCAUUCUACAAAUUGCUCAAAAAGGUGGACAAGUUUCAGUGGACCACAGAGGCACAGGAAGCUCUAGAGGCACUGAAAAAGUUUCUGACUACACCACCAGUACUCAAGCCACCACGCCGAGCCACGCCGAAUCAGCUAGCAGAAGAUCUGUUGUUAUAUAUCUCCUGCACAACUCACGUGGUGAGCACCGCGUUAGUAGUCGAGCGGGUGGAGGAAGGACAUACAUACCCGGUGCAACAUCCGGUCUACAUCAGCGAAGUUCUCGGGCCCUCAAAAAUGAAGUAUCCCCAAGUCCAGAAACUACUAUACGCGGUACUUCUAACCGCUCGCAAGCUCCGUCACUACUUUGAUGACCACAAAGUCAUAGUAGUCACAAGAUUUCCAAUAGGGGACAUUCUUCACAACAAAGAAGCUAUCGGAAGGAUAGCCAAGUGGGCGUGCGAGCUGGGAGCUCACGACAUAGAAUUCCGGCCCCGCACGGCAAUCAAGACUCAUGCACUGGUUGACUUCGUAUCUGAGUGAACUGAACACCAGGUCCCAAACAACCCGGAGACUACCGAAGUAUCGAGAAGUUGUAAGGAGCAGAUGCAGAGAUUCUCUUUAUUGCUCCUGGAAGUGAACAACUCAAGUAUGCACUCCAGCUAUUGUUUCCGGCAUCAAAUAAUACAGCAGAAUAUGAAGCACUGAUCCACGGAUUAAACAUCGCCGUAUCACUCAGCAUCAAGAAGCUGAUGGUAUAUGGAGAUUCGCUAGUGGUCAUAAGCCAGAUAAACAAAGACUAGGAUUGCUCGACUGAUUCCAUGGGCAAGAAGUUGAUGGUAUAUGGACCCCAAUGACUGGAGAGAGUCUAUCAUCAGGUACAUAAAAAAUGAAGAAGAACCGAAUGACAAGGCGGCAACGGAACGCAUCGCAAGGCAGUCAGCACACUACACCCUCAUAGGGGGCAUACUGUACAGAAGAGGUGCGGCAGGAGUUCUCAUGAAGUGCAUUCACUCGGCUAUUGGGAAGCAACUGUUAGACGAAAUCCAUGCCGGACAGUGCGGAGUACAUGCAGCGUCCAGAACUCUGGUCGGAAAGGCUUUCAGAUCUGGUUUCUAUUGGCCAACAACGAAGAGUGAUGCUGCCGAGUUAGUCCAGAGAUGUGAAGCUUGCCAAUUUUUAUCAAAGCAACAACAUUUACCCGCACAGCAGCUACAGACCAUUCCUGUAACAUGGUCAUUUGCAAUGCUGGGGGCUGGACAUGAUCAGACCUUUUAAGAAAGCUCAGGGAGGCUAUACUCAUGUACUUGUUGCCAUUGACAAAUUCACGUACUGCUUGUCUUAUAGACUUUUGUAAGAGCAUUUCUUGCAAGAAAAAAAAUCAUGUAGCUCGUUGUUUUAUCGUUAUUUAUGUCUCAAUAGCUCCUUCUGAUGUCUUGUAAUUAUCUGAUGAGUGCAUUGUUUUCCGUUAUGUUCUAAUGGUAAAAGGUCAUCCAAUAUUUAACUUAUAACUAUCUUUUGAAGUUACUCCAUUCUAAAUUAUAAGUGGUUUUAGCUCAAGAGACAUAGUAUAUCUAGGUGUAUAGAAAAAACUAUGUACCUAGAAAACCAAGAGGACUUAUAAUUCAGAGUACAAUUUACAAUAGCAUACAUGGCAAGCUUAUAUGAAAAGCAAAAUUAAAAUCAACAUUCUUCUUCAUACAUAAACAAUCGCAUCUAGCAGCUUAAAGUUUAGCUGUUAGGUCUUGCGAUUCAACCAACGAUAUCCAUUUCUUAUCACUCGGUUUAAUUAUCCUCACUGUAUUUAAAGUCAUAUGGCACUUUCAGUGUUCUUUAUUAAAUCAUCUGGUUUACUGACUCUGAGUUAUCCUGAAGUUUGGACAAAAAUCUCACCCUACACUUGGUGUUUCUGAUUUGUCCCUUUGCACACUUAGCUCAGGAUUGAUCGGAAGAUUCUCUGUAUUCCGAGUACUGUGUCUAACAGUAGUACUUGUUUGCUCAUUAUUUACUCCUUGUCGAUACACCUGAAAAAUGAAAAAGAAACGAUGUUUUGUGAUUCACAUACACUAGACAUGUGGAAUAAAACAAAACAAAAUUAAAGAUGAGUUCUACUAAUUGCAUCCUAUUUCGUCAAACUAUUUCUAGAUGCAUGUACCUUUCUCCGUAAUUCAGUGUUAUGUUGAUGAAGAAGGUUAACUUUGUUGUAUAGUUCUAUGCUUUCCUGGUGCAUGAGGCUUCCCUAUAAUUCAAACAAGAAGUUUUUGUAGUGAAGCGAGACCCUAAAAUAUGUUAUUAAUUGUGAAUAAGUCGUGUGGACAAACCUUCCUGUUUAAUUCUUGAAUCUGAUAAAAAAAAAGUUGGUCCUGCAAAUUGGCUGUUAUUAAACAAAGUAGCAACUGGUAUCUAUAUAUGUUGUUAAAUAUGUGAUGGAGUCUGAAGAAUCUGCAAUGAAACCUUUUUCAGACGAAUAUUUCUUAGGCUCGUCUCCAGCUUAUUCUCUAAAUUCUGCAAAUCUCCCACGUUCAGGCCAGAAAGCUGCUGACCCAACAACUGCCUGCAGUGGAAAAUUGCAUAGAACAUUAGCUUAUGCAUUUCUGAGAAUGCAAAUGUUAUUGUACAAUGUACAAACCAAUUUCACAUGUAAGAGAGAACAUUAAAAUAAAGUACCAUUUUUUGUAGCCAUCUAGUGUACAGUUGAAUUAAUCAACGAAUAACAUAACUUCCUUUGUGUGUGGAGUAAGCACACACUCUUAAUCAAAUAGAAUAAUAAUGAAGCAGAUCGUUGCUUGUUGCUGUUUCUGAAAGUUUUGGACCCAUACUGUAUAAGGUUUUACUUUGAUUUGGAGACUUCAAACUUCCUGUGCGUAAACAUUAAUGGAUAUACACACCAGAACAUAUAACCAAAUGCAUCUUGCAUUUCAUCAUCAUGUGCUGAGAAUUUGUUCUGAAUUCUUUUUUAUAUUUAUAUAUUUAUGACCUUGUUCCCAUUGAUUCUAUCUCUGAGCAUGAAAAAUAAUUGCAGUAGACACAUCCUUUUUCUCGUAAUGAUUUGAAAUAUUUAUUGUAGGUUAGUUGAGGGUCAUACCGAUGGUGCUCUUUUAAGUUAUGCAGUUGCUGCCUCAAGCUUUCUGCCUCCCUUUGCCAGAGCUAGUAAGAUUGGAAAAGCUUUCAAUUAAUUAACAUAAAUGAGAGUGACUGGACAACCAUAUGAUCUCUACUUUAGAGUAGGGACUACAACUACAACGAAAAGAACAAAACCUUUCGCUUCAAAGGAAGCUGGUAAAGUUACUUUGAGUUUGUUAAACCGCCCAUAUAUGUAACUUUUGGGAACCUGAGUACAGUCCUGCUAGCUUGUGUCUUUUUUUUUUUUGCCAUGCUGGAGAUUUUCUAAGACAAAUAAGUUAUGAGUUUGUUACUGUAUUCUCAUCUUCGUUUACUUAUCAAAAUAUGUUUACUCGCAAGAUAACUUGAUCUAAACUUUCAUUCUUUCUUUAAACAUGUUUAUGUACCAUUUUUAUGUAAGUUAUGUUCACUUUUGUAUUCUUUUCCUACAUAUGUAGCCAUAAAAAAAUAAUGUUACCAUCUACAUACAAAAUUUUCCCCGUUUUCUGUGUUUUUUCUGUGAAAUCCUGUAAAAUUCUUAUAUAAUUCCUAUGAAAUUCCUGCAUUCCGAAGGGGCCUCAAAAUGUUAUAUGUAGCAUAGGAAUUGGUACACCUGUACUAUUUGUGUUGUACAUCUUAAGUAACUGUUCUUAGCAUAGUCGAGAAUAGUUGGUCUAAAAUACAUUUAGUCCAUGUUUGUUUGGGCUUCCCAGAGACUUUGGACCUUUUAAAAUCCAAAGAACUCCGACAAACAAAAAAAAUCAGAGGCUCACUAUACUAAGAGACGUUUGGAUUUUGAAAAGUCUAAAAGCUAAUAGUGAGAAAAGGCCCAAGCAAACAAGGCACUAGAUAUAUCAUUCUAAGUUAUAAAUAUUUUGCAUCUAUAAAAAAUAAUUUUCUUGGUGGUUUUGUAAAGUCACAUCAUUUUGUACUAUUGUGAAAGAAAUAUGAAAAGUUUACAUUGGUUGGUGCUUGUGGGUUACCGUUUGUUUCACUUAAAUCUGACUCGCUUAGAACCACCUUCGAAGGUUUGGCUACUGUCGAGGGCGAGGAGGAUCAUGAUUUGGAUGUCUCGUUGAUGAAAAAUCGGAGCUGUCUCGAGGGGGUGUCUCGAGGCUUGGCAACAAAUGCGCAUCGCGGUCUUCCUCCUGUUUGUAGUCGUAGUCGAAUUUCCUUUGAUCUUGUGAUGCCCGUCUUAGAGAGACGGAGUUACUCGUCUCUUGUGUUGAGCUCGGCAAUGAUGACUCAGCAUGAGUAUUGUGUGUGGGGUUGCUGUUAUCUAGGUUGCACCAUGUGUAGGUUUUAGAACUUGUUUUUCUGGAUCAAUUCCUUUAUCCUUAAUUGAGAGACAGAGCUUCUGCCAUUACGUUUUUUUAAAAAAGAACCACCUUCUCGUCCACGUUGUGGUCGAGAUGAUCAGAACCUGGAGCCAACAAUAUGUGUCCAACAGAAGUUCUUGAGGAUGGAAGGUAAUUAGUACAUGAAAUGUUUGUUUCGAUCAGUUUUGUGAUUUCUAUAUUUGAGGUCAACAUAGUCUAUGAAUAUAGCAGCAGGUGAUGCUUCAUAUAGCGGCUACGUUAUAUAGUGUUGGAGUCAUUUGCCGUUUAUUACAAAGUACGAUGAUGUCCAUGGCCCCUGUUGCUUAAAUCCCUAGAUGAGAAUCUAAAGGUAGGACAUGCAUGACGCCAGUCAAAUUCCAUGCGCCUUUGGCUUGGUCUAUGGCUUUAUGCUCACACUAUAAAUGGUGGUGUAAUAAUAGGUCGCCAUACACACCUAUAACUCUUAAGAUAAUUAAUUUACAAUCCCUAAAGGCAGGCAGAUCACAAAUGGUAGCUAAACCACAGUAAAAGUAGUCACUAACUAUUUUCCUUACUCAGAUUCAGUAAUACAUGCUACCACCAAAUAUAUAGUGAUAUUGAACAUUGAACUUGUUAACACCUUAAACUCUAUUCCAAGUACAUUUUUGCGCUUGCUCAUUAUGCAUAUGAAAGUUUUCAAAUGUAUCAUUUUUGCCCCAGGGUCGAUCUACUCCUGGGAAGAUCUCUGCGCGCGGUUUGUUGCAAACUUCGCCAGUGCUUACCAGCAACAUGGCAUGGAGGCCCACCUCCACGCAGUGAGGCAAGAGCCCGGAGAAACUCUCCGGACAUUUAUCUCCCGCUUCACCAAGGUGUGAGGUACUAUACCUCUCAUCUCCGAUGCUUCUAUCAUCACGGCCUUCCGCCAGGGGGUAUGUGAUAAAAAGAUGUUGGAGAAGUUGGCCACGCAUGACGUGGAAACGGUCCCCACUCUCUUUGCUUUGGCCGACAAGUGCGCCAGGGCUGCUGAGGGUCGUGCGUGGCACUCAGCGCCACAGAUCGGGGCUGCCCAAGCAGGCGGCUCAGGUGCCGUCGCUCAGGACGGCAAGAAAAGGAAGAAAAAGAACUGUGGCAACGAGAAGCCGCACUCCGCCGCUCUGGUCGUGGCAGCUGCGACUGGGGGCCGGGGCGACCGCAACAAACGCCCACGACGACCGAGGGGUAACAGCGGCACAUGCCCCGUGCACCCCAGCGGUCGCCAUAGUGCCGCAGAAUGCCACGAGAUCAUCGACCUCGCGAAACGUGUCAGCGCGUGGCGCGAGCAGUCUUCCGGGGAUGGCUCCCCACCUCGUCGCCGACUCGGCAAGGAAAAGGCCGACGACAAAGAGGUGGCCGUGGCCGAACCGGACCUCGGGUAUCAAUCACCCGAGGGGGUCCUGAGGAUGUCUUCACUGGAGACUCCAAUUCCGGUGAAGGCAACUAGACGGACCACCAGGGGGCCCCGUGCUACUUGGCCUGCGGGGCCGAAGUCUGCCUUCCCCCCGGAAACCCUUCUGGACUCCCCACGGGUCCAACCUUUCGAUGGGUUUGUGUAGGGGCCACUACAACGUGAGGACGUGGACUCAAGCGGCGGACUCAGGUGUCAAGUCGCAACCCGAAAUGCACAUCGUAACCAAGCGCCCAAGUACUAUGGUCGACGGUUCGUGCAUAGUAGGAACCCAGGGUCGGAACCUAAUCCUGCGGCAAAGUACUGAACCAAGAGGGGAUCUGUAACCUCUACCCCAGCAGGGAGGAACCCCUCAAGGCGAUGGAAAUAUGCCAACCCGAGGGAUGCCAACUUUGCUAUAGCUGAAGAAGUACCCCUUCCUAUCCCAGUAAGUUCAUAGAAGCAACUCUGAGGGGUUAGAUUUUUCUCCUUUCAUAAUUAAAUUUUGCAUAUGUGUACACCAGCCCGGUGAGGUCUGCCCACAUAAACCUGGCCUGAUGGUUUACACCCAUGCAUAUCAAGUUAUAAAGAGGAAAUUCACCCCCUCGGACGCGUUUCUAUGACAACUUUAUCUUCCUGCUCCAUGGAUUUGGCCUAUAGUUUUCAGAUAAUACCUUUUAUCUAACCCACCCGCACGGUUCCCCAUCUGUCCUAACAUGACGACAUCCGAAUUGAGCUGCCAGGCUUGCAGUUUAGGACCUCCUUUACGAAAGCAGGGAGGUCUGAUAGCCUGGGGGCCGGUUCCAAAGAACGGGAGCUCGUUCCAUGGAAUGGUCCGGAGCAGUGUAGCCGCUUAGCCUGGUCUCGUACCGUAAGCCUGCACAACCCACCAUUUUGUGACGGGUACCUUAGUAUUUGGAACUAUAGCUAUGUGGGUCCGACAACCUAGGGUCCGACUCAGGAAAAUGGGCACUUGUCUCCUAGGGUGGUCCGGAGCCGUGUAGCCGCUUAGCCUGGUCCCGUACCGUAAGCCUACACACUCCACCACCCUGCGAUGGGAGUCCUAGUAUCUAGAGCCGCGACCCAAGGGGGUCCGGACACGCAACUUGGCCACCCGGACUAAACCCUGCGAGUCCCGAGCAUGUAUCAAAGGAUGGCUAAUAUCAGACAGGGGACCCUAUGGGUGUACUACUAACGCUCCCUAGCUGAAGCUGUGUACAGAUCCAGAUCCCGGCCGAGGCUGCCUCUCGAGAGUUGUUGACAACCCUUUUUAGAUACGCUGGUAACCAACCUUGACACAUCAAGCCUGCAUCCCAAGCGGGGGGCCAGGUACCAGGGAGGAGUCAACAACAUCACACAUAGCAGGAACAUGCGGUACACAGAUAAGUGCUAACACUGCUUGAUAAAUAGUACUCAAAAGUACCUUACAAAAAGCAAAAGUAUUACAUUCGCCUUCAAGCGGAAUCCUAGUUCCACCUCUACUCUGCAGGUAUAAACUACUAGACGCCAGCGGAGUCGCGCUGGAAAGCCCGCGACCACUGUCCUUGCGCAAUCCUCUAGAACGGCGUAACAACAGUGAUGGCCGCCUCAAUGUGUG
rnacentral:lncRNA from 1 species